rnacentral:lncRNA from 1 species
AAAAGUUCUAUAAAAUUGUUUUUUUUUUUAUUUUUUUACUUUUUUAAUUUUUAUUUAUCUUUUUAUAUUAACUUUAAAAAAAAUAAAUUAAAAAGGUUGUUAAAUUUAUUAAUAAUUAUGUAAAAUUUUAAUUAAUAAUUUGCAUAUGUUUUCUACUGUAAUUUUAAAAAAUAAAAAAUGUAAAUAUUUUUUUUUUUUUUUUUUGAGAAAAGGUAGCAUGCUACCCGCUUCAUUCAUUCGGGAGGUGAAUUAAGCUACAUGGGUGAGGCAACAAGGCCUNAUAAAAUCAAAAUUUUGAAAGAUUGGAUAGCCAACUCAAAAUGAUCCGAAAUUCAGAUUAGUUCUCGAUGGUUUUACCAUAAAAAAAAAUGUGAAUAUAUUGUUUGAAACAUCUACCUAACCUUUUAUUCAUUCCAUUUGAACCAUUAGAUAAAAUUUUUGGUAGCAAAUUCUAAUACUUCACUUAUCUUACAGUACUUACCAUCUCAUAUGAUUUGUUGGAGAACCAUUUAAUUUGAAUGAACAAUGCUUCCAAAUUUUGUAACAAAGAAAAAAACCGUCGAAUAGUUAAAAUUAAACAAAUUGCAAUGGUAGAUAGAAAAAAUUUUAAUUUUAAAAAUUUCGUAGUUGUUCCAAAAUGAGUCCGAUAUGCUACGCAUAUUUUUACCCAAUAUAUCUUGCUAAAAGGGUCCUAAAAUAUUCCUUUCUAGUACUCUUCCUUUGUACUACUUUUUAUAAAUAUUUGUAAAUUUAUGUUUUCUUUUUAUUUAGGAUUAUGUCGAUGGCCUCUGAUUUGAGCUCAGAAGCAGUAGUCCCAAGAUCGGUUCCGGUUCGCGUCGCCCACGAGCUCCUCCAAGCAGGGCAUCGAUAUCUCGAUGUCAGGUAUAAUGUAAUUAGUUUCAACAAUUUAAUCAAAACUUACCGACUGUCCCUAGCGCAAGUGGCAAAAGGUUUGAUGGUUGGUACCUGAGGUCUCAAGUUCGAAUUCUAGUUGAUUCACAUUUCUAGCUAAGUUUAUUUCUAAAUUGAAUAAAUAAAGCGGGUAGUAUACUACCUAUCUCUGAAAAAAAAAUAAUAAUGAAAACUUAUUAACUUUGAUAGGAAUUGCGUCAUGUGUCAACUUGUGAUGCAAUUGGAAUCUAUGCUUCUAAAAUAUUUUUUUUUUUUUUUUUUGAGAAAAUGUAGCAUGCUACCCGCUUCAUUCAUUCGGGAGGUGAAUUAAGCUACAUGGGUGAGGCAACAAGGCCUCUAGGCAAACGGAGACAAAAAGGAAAAGACAGGGAAAUAGGUGUUGUGAGUAAAGUACAGUCGAUGCCUCUAUACGGUCUACGAGUUCUAACUACAGAUCUACCGAUCUACAGAUCAGUACUACUCCACUGAGCUAACAGGUGUUUGAUCUUAUGAGUACCACGGAUCGGAUCCGCCUGGGCCUUCGCAAAAAUGACACCAUUCCUAGUCUCCCAAAUCACCCACCAACAAGCUAUGAUACCGGUUAGGUCGUUAUCCGAGCCCCUCCGCCCUUUCCAUAAAUCCCACAUCCGGUGUACGUCAGCUCCCAAAUCUUCUG